GGCCGCUUCUCCAGGACCCUCGGCGACGGGAAGAGAGCUAGAACUGAGGCCCCAGGUGACUCCGCGGCUGGCGAGCCUCUUCCUGUGGCGGCCUCUGGAGGGAGGCUGAAGCGAUGGCUGUGGCGUGAGGCCAGCCCGGAAAGAAGACUGAAACAUCUCUCCUAGCUUCCAAGCAGUCCUGCCAUCUUCAGAAGGGGUCAUUGGAGUCCACCAAUCCAAGUCCCAAAUCAUAAAGAGAAAGUUUUGCUUAUUAUAUGGAAGCUCUUCCCACACUUCAGACCCAAGAAAUGCUUGGCCUCAGCCAACUAUAAAGUUGGAUCAAACCAAGUACUCACAAAGGGACUGAAGGAUGAUCUAAUUCACAGCACAACCCUUUUUUUAAACUGUUUUUUUCAAAUACAAAAAUAAUAUAUAAUCAUUGGGAAAAUUCAAAAAAUUUAGAAGAAUAAAGAAUAAAGAGCAAAA